ACACCGGCAGCUCUAGUGGUAGCAAUUUUUAUUGGGCCUAAAGCGUCCGUAGCCGGUUUAAUAAGUCUCUGGUGAAAUCCUGCAGCUUAACUGUGGGAAUUGCUGGAGAUACUAUUAGACUUGAGAUCGGGAGAGGUUAGAGGUACUCCCAGGGUAGAGGUGAAAUUCUGUAAUCCUGGGAGGACCGCCUGUUGCGAAGGCGUCUAACUGGAACGAUUCUGACGGUGAGGGACGAAAGUUAGGGGCGCGAACCGGAUUAGAUACCCGGGUAGUCCUAACUGUAAACGAUGCGGACUUGGUGUUGGGGUGGCUUUGAGCUGCUCCAGUGCCGAAGGGAAGCUGUUAAGUCCGCCGCCUGGGAAGUACAGUCGCAAGACUGAAACUUAAAGGAAUUGGCGGGG
rnacentral:rRNA from 1 species